GUCACGUGAUCACGGCAACAUGGCUGCUUCGACUUGAGAAAUUUUGCAAGCAAUUACAAUGCAGUGUUUUGGACGAAAUACGUAUUUAUUUUCAGGAACUCAUCGGUUCUAUUAAACACCCACCUUUACGGAAGUUUGGAGUAGGAAGUAGGGGGACAGAACUUUACUACAUUGAAUGACAUUCCUCUUUCCUUCGGGAGAUAAUGAAGCUGCGUGUCCAGCUGCAGUGUAAGAAUUUGCAUGAAUAUUUAAGAGAGCUGAAUCCGGAGAUUUUGGACAGACUCUACAACCAUCCAGCAACAUGUCUGGCUGUCUACAGGGAGCACCCCUCUCUGGCAAAGAAUUAUGUGAUGCGCAUGCUGUUCUUGGAUCAGCCUCUCCCCCAGGCAGCUGUGGCAUUGUGGGUAAAGAAAGAUGGUCAGAAGGAUCACGAUGAAUGUUGGCAGGGUUCCGGCUCUGGCACAGUCAGCAGCUGCAGGGCGGUCUGCAGGGAUACAUUUUAAAUCCGGUGUUCAAAGACAACCUGAGGACAGCUUUGCUUGGUGGAGGGCAAGCAUGGGCUGAUGAGGGGAGCACCCUGGGUCCUGACCGCCACACACGAGACAUUGAGAGUCUUGACCGCUACGCUAUGGAGCGCUGGGAGAUCAUCCUGCAGUUCAUGGUGGGUUCUCCCAGUGCUGUCAGUCAGGACCUGGCACAGCUUUUGGUUCAAGCAGGCCUCAUGAAAAGGGUCUGGGCUGUCUGGUGUGGCAGGAUGUGGCCCACAGAGUGAUGGUGGUGACACCGCAGGGACACAGCGAGGUCAAGAGGUUCUGGAAGCGACAGAGAUCUCACAUGUAGCUGGAGGAGAAGAAACGAGGAGCACUGGAGUAAGACCUGAGGACAGGGUUUUCUUGCUUUCCACCGUCUUCAUUGUUGUCAGUACUACAAAAAAGUGAGGAUGAUUGUGUAUGUUUUAUAAAAUGCUACCAUCCUUGUAUUAAAAUGAACAGUUUCUGCUCAUUCUUUCCGAUUUGAGUAGUUAUGUAAAUCCUGUAUGCAAGU